rnacentral:rRNA from 1 species
CUCGGCUCUCGCCACGAUGAAGAAUGUAGCGAAAUGCGAUACUUAGUGUGAAUUGCAGAAUCCCGUGAAUCAUCGAGUCUUUGAACGCAAGUUGCGCCCGAGGCCUCGGCCAAGGGCACGUCUGCUUGGGCGUCGCACUCCAAAA